rnacentral:rRNA from 1 species
UUGGAGGGCAAGUCUGGUGCCAGCAGCCGCGGUAAUUCCAGCUCCAAUAGCGUAUAUUAAAGUUGUUGCAGUUAAAAAGCUCGUAGUUGAAUUUCGGGAUCAAUAUGUCGGUCGUGCUUUUGGUACGUACUGGCAUCAUUGGUUUCUCCCUUCUGACAAACCAUGAUGUCAUUAAUUUGGUGUUAUGGGGAGUUAGGACUGUUACUUUGAAAAAAUUAGAGUGUUUAAAGCAGGCAUUAGCUUGAAUACAUUAGCAUGGAAUAAUGAAAUAGGACGUUUGACCCUAUUUUGUUGGUUUCUAGGAUCGACGUAAUGAUUAAUAGGGAUAGUUGGGGGCAUUAGUAUUCAAUUGUCAGAGGUGAAAUUCUUGGAUUUAUUGAAGACUAACUACUGCGAAAGCAUUUGCCAAGGAUGUUUUCAUUAAUCAAGAACGAAAGUUAGGGGAUCGAAGACGAUCAGAUACCGUCGUAGUCUUAACCAUAAACUAUGCCGACUAGGGAUCGGAUGAUGUUAAUUUUUUAAUGACUCAUUCGGCGCCUUACGGGAAAC